rnacentral:rRNA from 1 species
AGUGAACGCUGGCGGUAGGCCUAACACAUGCAAGUCGAACGGCAGCACAGUAAGAGCUUGCUCUUACGGGUGGCGAGUGGCGGACGGGUGAGGAAUACAUCGGAAUCUACUUUUUCGUGGGGGAUAACGUAGGGAAACUUACGCUAAUACCGCAUACGACCUACGGGUGAAAGCAUGGGAUCUUCGGACCUUGCGCGAUUGAAUGAGCCGAUGUCGGAUUAGCUAGUUGGCGGGGUAAAGGCCCACCAAGGCGACGAUCCGUAGCUGGUCUGAGAGGAUGAUCAGCCACACGGGAACUGAGACACGGUCCAGACUCCUACGGGAGGCAGCAGUGGGGAAUAUUGGGCAAUAGGCGCAAGCCUGAUCCAGCCAUACCGCGUGGGUGAAGAAGGCCUUCGGGUUGUAAAGCCCUUUUGUUGGGAAAGAAAAGCAGCAGGUUAAUACCCCGCUGUUCUGACGGUACCCAAAGAAUAAGCACCGGCUAACUUCGUG